rnacentral:rRNA from 1 species
ACGGAGGGUGCAAGCGUUAAUCGGAAUUACUUCGCGUAAAGCGCACGCAGGCGGUUUGGUAAGUCAGAUGUGAAAUCCCCGGGCUCAACCUGGGAACUGCCUCUGAUACUGGAAAGCUGGAGUCUCGUAGAGGGGGGUAGAAUUCCAGGUGUAGCGGUGAAAUGCGUAGAUAUGUGGAGGAAUACCGAGGGCGAAGGCAGCCCCCUGGACGAUGACUGUCGCUCAGGUGCGAAAGCGUGGGGAGCAAACAG